rnacentral:rRNA from 1 species
GAUGAACGCUGGCGGCGUGCCUAAUACAUGCAAGUCGAGCGAACAGACGAGGAGCUUGCUCCUCUGACGUUAGCGGCGGACGGGUGAGUAACACGUGGAUAACCUACCUAUAAGACUGGGAUAACUUCGGGAAACCGGAGCUAAUACCGGAUAAUAUAUUGAACCGCAUGGUUCAAUAGUGAAAGACGGUUUUGCUGUCACUUAUAGAUGGAUCCGCGCCGCAUUAGCUAGUUGGUAAGGUAACGGCUUACCAAGGCGACGAUGCGUAGCCGACCUGAGAGGGGGAUCGGCCACACUGGAACUGAGACACGGUCAGACUCCUACGGGAGGCAGCAGUAGGGAAUCUUCCGCAAUGGGCGAAAGCCUGACGGAGCAACGCCGCGUGAGUGAUGAAGGUCUUCGGAUCGUAAAACUCUGUUAUUAGGGAAGAACAAAUGUGUAAGUAACUAUGCACGUCUUGACGGUACCUAAUCAGAAAGCCACGGCUAACUACGUG